rnacentral:rRNA from 1 species
AACGAACGCUGGCGGCAUGCCUAACACAUGCAAGUCGAACGAGACCUUCGGGUCUAUUGGCGCACGUGUGCGUAACGCGUGGGAACCUGCCCUUAGGUUCGGAAUAACUCCCCGAAAGGUGUGCUAAUACCGGAUAAUGUCUUCGGACCAAAGAUUUAUCGCCUUUGGAUGGGCCCGCGUUGGAUUAGCUAGUUGGUAGUGUAAAAGCCUACCAAGGAGACGAUCCAUAGCUGGUCUGAUAGGAUGAUCAGCCACACUGGGACUGAGACACGGCCCAGACUCGUACGGGAGGCAGCAGUGGGGAAUAUUGGACAAGGGGCGAAAGCCUGAUCAAGCAAUGCCGCGUGAGUGAUGAAGGCCGUAGGGUUGUAAAGCUCUUUUACCCGGGAUGAUAAUGACAGUACCGGGAGAAUAAGCUCCGGCUAACUCCGUG